UCGUAACAAGGUUUCCGUAGGUGAACCUGCGGAAGGAUCAUUACCGAGUGAGGGCCCUCUGGGUCCAACCUCCCACCCGUGUUUAUCGUACCUUGUUGCUUCGGCGGGCCCGCCUCACGGCCGCCGGGGGGCAUCCGCCCCCGGGCCCGCGCCCGCCGAAGACACACAAACGAACUCUUGUCUGAAGAUUGCAGUCUGAGUACUUGACUAAAUCAGUUAAAACUUUCAACAACGGAUCUCUUGGUUCCGGCAUCGAUGAAGAACGCAGCGAAAUGCGAUAAGUAAUGUGAAUUGCAGAAUUCAGUGAAUCAUCGAGUCUUUGAACGCACAUUGCGCCCCCUGGUAUUCCGGGGGGCAUGCCUGUCCGAGCGUCAUUGCUGCCCUCAAGCACGGCUUGUGUGUUGGGCUCUCGCCCCCCGCUUCCGGGGGGCGGGCCCGAAAGGCAGCGGCGGCACCGCGUCCGGUCCUCGAGCGUAUGGGGCUUCGUCACCCGCUCUGUAGGCCCGGCCGGCGCCCGCCGGCGAACACCAUCAAUCUUAACCAGGUUGACCUCGGAUCAGGUAGGGAUACCCGCUGAACCUAAGCAUAUC
rnacentral:misc_RNA from 1 species